UAUGUUAUCAGAAGGAAUAGGGUUUAUGUUUUGAAGUUACCAGUAUGCUUUUCUCUUUUGCCUUUCAGAGCAUAUGAAUUUAGUCUACUCAAGGCUGCUAUUUAUCUGCCAUUAGGGGACAGGAUGAAGAUUCUUUCCAGAAGAGUUUGACACAUCCUAACCACUUUCUUGGGCAACUUCAACUUUGACGAGAGAGUGGGAAAUACAGCUCCGCCUUGACAAGACAAUGUGUGACAUGAAAGACCUCGGAAGCCAUACAGGCUUUUGACAGUUCUUCAGAAUGAAGCACCUCCUGUCUGUUCUGUUCAGUCCCAGUCCAGAAAUGUGUCUGACACGUAUUAACUCCAAGAGUCAUGACCACAGACAAGGUUGGAGAAUGCUUCUGCUUCGUGCUAACUCUCAUGGGUCAUGUCCAAGGAAGAGGUCCUAAAGCCAGGAGGCAGAAGUCCAGGUCCAGGUCCAGGCCGCUAUUCAAGAAACCCUGGGAUCCUCAGCCCCCCUGGGCCUCAGUACCCUCCACUGCAGCACAGAGGUCAUGUUAUCUUCUCUACCCACCUCCCUGGAUGGUUAUGAGAACAUGACGUGACAAUGGAUAUGAAAAUUCUCUGAAAAUUUCAAAGAAUAUGCUGAAGGUAUUUCCUUCCUGAAGGCCAUCGGGGACCGGAGUGUCCUCCGGUUAUCUCUCUCUGCCACCGGCUCCUCGCCUGACUCUGACCUCACCUCGGCGUCAGUCUUAUCAGUCUCAGCUGUGCACCUCCCAGAAGCUUCUCACAUCCGUGUUGUCACAUUCUAGUGCUUGGAAGGGAAGCAGGGGUCAGACCACCCCUCACCAUGAUGUCCUGGGUGGCAGAAAGCCAGGUGAGUUGGCCAAAUGCAAGAGGCCUCAUUCCUGUGUUCUAAGCACUGGAAUGCUGGCUGGCAGCUGUGCCCUUGUUGGCAGGAGACAGGUAGGGACCCUGUGGGCUGUGGCCCAGAGUAAAGGGGGAACCGGAGGAACAGAAAGCUUGUCCUUCCUUCCAGUUUAUGUUUCCUGUGUGGCCCCACUGCGCUUCAUAGCCUAGGGGCCACCGCUAGGAAGUCGUCCUGCAGAAAUACUCAGACGUGUGCAGAUGACGCAGUACAUAGAAGACUGUGAACAAUCUAAAUGCCGCUAACAAAGGCCUGAUUAAAACAUCUACUGUGUGUGCAUGCAGUUGUGCACUGUAAAGGAAACUCCUCGCUCUGGUAAGAAAUGAUCUCCAGAAGACGAUGUUAUGUCCAACAAAUACAACUAGGUUAGGAACUGUGUUACCAUUUGUUUUUAAAACAGAGGGGAGCAGGGAAGGGAGACUGUGUAUGCAUAUGCUUGUUUGUACACAGACUGCCUUGGAAAGCUGCCCGAACCAGUAAUACUGUAGUCCCUGGGAAGGAGUGUGCUCAGGGGGUGCAGGAGCUGGGAAGGUAGCAGUUGCCUGGUGCUCUACCUCAACUAGCCCAGACUUAGAGCUGAAAACCACCACCAUUUCACUCGGCUCGCUUUCCUGUGGAUUGGCUCCGUUGCCUGGGGCUUCUGCCCACGUCAGGGUCAGAGUCCCCAGAAGCAAGACAGCAAAUCCAGUGCACAAACACUUUCAAGCCCUUACUUGCAUGAUGUUUGCUAAAGUCCCCAUGGCCAAAGCCAUUCCUACAACCAAGCCCAGUGUCAAGGCAGAGACAUAGCUCCCGUGUGUCAGUGGGAGGAGCUAGAAAAUACACUGGUGGCUAUUCAUCCACCACAUGCUGAGGCAGAGGCAAGCAGAGAGGGAGCAACUUUUCUCUUUGUAGCCUUUCGUACUUUUUGAAUUUGAGUCAUGUCAAUACACCCUAUUCAAAAAGAAAUAAAUUCCCUGAGAUUAGCUUUGAAAUAAUCCAUUGUUGAGGAAAAAUGUGGGUGGGAAGGAAGAGGUGGAGGUGUAGGUGGAAGAAGAUUGGCCUUGAGCUGACAACUGCUGAGGUUGGAGAUGAACACAUGAGGCUCGUAGUCCUCUUCUACUUGUAUUUUUAAAAAAUGUCCUGCAGCAGAGGUUCCUGCUGUGGCACAAUGAGAUGGGUGGCA